CUACGGGAGGCAGCAGUAGGGAAUCUUCCGCAAUGGACGAAAGUCUGACGGAGCAACGCCGCGUGAGUGAUGAAGGCUUUCGGGUCGUAAAACUCUGUUGUUAGGGAAGAACAAGUGCUAGUUGAAUAAGCUGGCACCUUGACGGUACCUAACCAGAAAGCCACGGCUAACUACGUGCCAGCAGCCGCGGUAAUACGUAGGUGGCAAGCGUUAUCCGGAAUUAUUGGGCGUAAAGCGCGCGCAGGUGGUUUCUUAAGUCUGAUGUGAAAGCCCACGGCUCAACCGUGGAGGGUCAUUGGAAACUGGGAGACUUGAGUGCAGAAGAGGAAAGUGGAAUUCCAUGUGUAGCGGUGAAAUGCGUAGAGAUAUGGAGGAACACCAGUGGCGAAGGCGACUUUCUGGUCUGUA
rnacentral:rRNA from 1 species